rnacentral:rRNA from 1 species
AGGACGAACGCUGGCGGCGUGCUUAACACACGCAAGUCGAGCGGUAAGGCCUUUCGGGGUACACGAGCGGCGAACGGGUGAGUAACACGUGGGUGAUCUGCCCUGCACUCUGGGAUAAGCCUGGGAAACUGGGUCUAAUACCGGAUAUGACCUGCUCUCGCAUGGGGGGUGGGUGGAAAGAUUUAUCGGUGCAGGAUGGGCCCGCGGCCUAUCAGCUUGUUGGUGGGGUAAUGGCCUACCAAGGCGACGACGGGUAGCCGACCUGAGAGGGUGACCGGCCACACUGGGACUGAGACACGGCCCAGACUCCUACGGGAGGCAGCAGUGGGAAUAUUGCACAAUGGGCGAAAGCCUGAUGCAGCGACGCCGCGUGAGGAUGAAGGCCUUCGGGUUGUAAACCUCUUUCAGCAGGACGAAGCGCAAGUGACGGUACCUGCAAGAAGAAGCAACCGGCUAACUACGUAGCCAGACAGCCGAC